UUGAACGCUGGCGGCAGGCCUAACACAUGCAAGUCGAACGGUAACAGGAAGCAGCUUGCUGCUUUGCUGACGAGUGGCGGACGGGUGAGUAAUGUCUGGGAAACUGCCUGAUGGAGGGGGAUAACUACUGGAAACGGUAGCUAAUACCGCAUAACGUCGCAAGACCAAAGAGGGGGACCUUCGGGCCUCUUGCCAUCGGAUGUGCCCAGAUGGGAUUAGCUAGUAGGUGGGGUAACGGCUCACCUAGGCGACGAUCCCUAGCUGGUCUGAGAGGAUGACCAGCCACACUGGAAGUGAGACACGGUCCAGACUCCUACGGGAGGCAGCAGUGGGGAAUAUUGCACAAUGGGCGCAAGCCUGAUGCAGCCAUGCCGCGUGUAUGAAGAAGGCCUUCGGGUUGUAAAGUACUUUCAGCGGGGAGGAAGGGAGUAAAGUUAAUACCUUUGCUCAUUGACGUUACCCGCAGAAGAAGCACCGGCUAACUCCGUG
rnacentral:rRNA from 1 species